UCAAAUGUAAAAACCAUCUCACUCUUAACAGUGAGAUCUAAAGAAUAUAUAUAUAAUCCAUAUAAUUGGAGAGAGAGAUCUGCAUAUAGGUACAAAUGCGGUGUCAGGAGGAUGUAAAACUGUUAUGUAAGAUGCAUAAAGUCCCUGGAAGAAGUCUUUCAUAUUGCAGUAAUGAGACUGACAUUUAUAUGAAGUUUUCGAAAACAGUCAGUUGGCCUUUAACUUUUCUGCAAUGAAAAAAAUCUAUUGAACAAGCCACCUUUACUUGUCUAGGUUGCACUUAGUGAAGAGAAAACUGUGUGACAGUGCUCAAGAGGCUUCCUAUAAAGAGGGAAAGUUCUCUCCCCUGUCUAAGAAGGAAUCCUUUGCACCUAUGUUGCUUCCCUCUCCACCCCCAACCUAAAAAAAGAAAAAAAGAAAGAAAACAUAAAAGCAAGAAGAGAAAAAGUAGUGCUUUGUGAUAAUUAUUCCUCCAAUAUAGGCCCUUCUGUGUAUUUUGAUAAUACAUAUGCCCACUCUUUGACUUAAGUUUGUAUUGAGUUCAGCACAGUAAUUAUCUACCACACACAUCGACUCCCACCCCCC